AGGCAACGUUUCACUUCUGCUCGGUUCCUCUUCGUUUGGAUGAGUGCUCCUUCCUUCCGUCCUUCCAGCAGAGUUUAAGGGUCCAUCCUUCUGCCUCUGGAGUCUUCUGGGUGUCAGAUUACUGAACGUGGAAGGAAAUCACACAAAAAAGGAAUUGGAAGACUCUCUUUGUACUUGGUUCCCAGGAGGAUAUAGUAGCAGCCUGGAGAGACUGACAAGGAGGCCAGCCGUAGGGGCUUUACACUGAGCCAUAUAUCUUCCCACAGUGGGACCAGAACCCACCAUUAGACUACACCUGCACUUAGGAAGGCGACAACAGUCAUUCAACAUACUAACUGCCUCACCGAGAGGGUGCUGGUGUACUUUCACUGGUGACAGCUACAGGAGUCGAGGGAGCAACAACGGCUGUGAGAAACAAUUUGGCUCAAAAGACAAAAGGCAAUAAAGAAGAGCACAAUAAUAGCACUGUUGAGGGGCGCAUUGGCAUGGCCUUUUCCACAGGUAGAUGCAUUGUGAAUAACGCAGUGCUGUAUUUUGCAAGCUACGCAAAACAAGUGUGAAUGCAUUAUGGGUUUAUAGCCCAAUCUUCCCUGCAGCACAGCAGUAUAUGGAUGUCAGUGAGGUCGCCGCUGUAAAUCAGGUUUAGUCUAAUCAGAGCUACUGGCCGUGGGAUUUAAACCAAAUCACUUCUGGUGGUGUGUUACCUUUUCUUUGGACUGUGGAAGAAAAGUGGAGUACCUGGAGGAACAAAAUCCAAGAUGCACCCAGAUGUGUCAUACAAGUUUUAGCUCGAUCCAACUGAACCUCCUCUGUAAAAUCUCACACACAUUCAGUAAACAGUGUUUCCACCCACCUGUGAUCACUCAAGGUUUUGUGUACACUACUAAAGUCAUGUUAGAGUAAAUAAAAUUAUUGGGAAAACGGUAGGAGACAGAGAGAAAUUAACCUCAUUCUGACAUUGCACAUUUAAACAAAAAGGCCCAUUGCACUUAAGACUAAGAGGCCACUUAAUUGAGUUUACCCUACCAAUGAGAAUCAAUAGGGAGUAACCCAGGGAGCUACAAAUUCAGAUAGUUGGAUUUACCGUCCAACACUAAAGUAAACUUUACGAGUCAGACUUCACAAACUUUCAGAGGAGCUACUUAAAGGUCCAGUGUGUAGGAUCUGGCGGUUUCGGUGAGGUGAGGAGAUUGCAUCCAACUGAUCAAUAAAAAUAUGACAUUAGUUUACUGGUGAGGAGUCUUUGGUAUCAGAAUAUCUAUUCUCACUCUCACAUCCUCGGUCAUGAUGAAGUAUGAUAUGAUCCUGUCAUAUAAAGGAAAAAUCAAAACUGAUUGUUGGAUUCAUUGAAAACAAAUCGUUGCAGAUUCUCCCCACAUACAGACACAAAAUACAGCUGUGAAUAAACACUGCAGAGGAAUGUGGUUCAGAAUAAAUGGUGAGAAACACGAGCCAGACGGUCUUCAUUGCAAUAAAGGUCUCGUCUUUUCCUCCGGAGACGCUUUAAAUUGGAUGAGCAAUUGUAUCUGUGGAAGACGGAGUCGUGAACUGGAAGCUAACUGCUCAUUACUCAGCGGUGUGAAGGACAAUUAUUGCACAGCGGCUCGAUCUUUCUUAAAAGGUACUAUAGCAAGUAGCCAAGGAAGACACACUGGACAGGUUUUGUUCUCAUUCUUCCUGAAGGAAAUUAUUGUUCAAGUUGUGUCGAUUUCUCAGAAGAAUGCUAAACAACUGUCUCGGAUAGAAGUUAUGCAAGUAAAAAACAGUCUUUUGGGACAACAGUUGAUGUAAUGGGGGUCGAUGGUCUGGUGCGUACCUAUUUGGGGCUUCUUGGCAUGAAUAAGACUGGAAAACAGCUGCACCGCAACAAGAGCCAGACAGGCAGUCGAACUCUGAUCAGAUGUGUGUAGUUUUUUAAAUGACGCCAGACACGGUAAGACAAUGUUUUUAAGCUCCUUGUUUUCAGAGCUCCAACCACCAACUGAACCUUUGACAGUAUAAGAAGUACAGGAGUUGUUAUUGAGAGAUACAGUAGUGAUGUAGCGCAACCGAGUAAGGUCAUAGAGUUGUCUUCUGUUGUUCCUUUUGACCAAACUGUAGAAAAUGAAUGAACCUCUAAGAAUAAAAUAAUAACAUGUUUGACAGACAGGUUUUAAUCAAAUUAAGUCUGGUGGUAUUAUUCCUUUUGUCGCCCCAUCCACACUUUUUCAUUUUCAAUUUAAAAAAUGUUAUUAAAGAAAGUUAUCAACAGGCCAGAGUCACAGUUAACCACAUUGAUGAAAAGAGCCAGUAGGCCAUGCCCACGUCUUUCCAUUACCGUGUGUGUGUGUAUAGUGUGUGUGCAUAGUGAGACUCGGGGCGCCAGCGUAUGGCAAGAAACAGUUUUUAUUAUAUUUCAGAAUGACAAAUAGUUAUGGACAUUUACUUUUGUUGUUUUCAAUACACAAGCAAAUCUGUAUGGACAAUCAUUAGGUAGAUGAAAACCAAAUAAAAUAAUAAUUUGUACACAUAUCUUACAAUACAUACUGUAGUUCCUCACUGGCUAAAGCAAUAUGCAUUAUGCAGGAAGGUAUUGCUAUUCAUAUAGUACAGCUAAUUACAGUUGAUGUGGAAAAAAAAAAAAAAAGCAAAAAUAAGUUAUUUAAAUAUCAAUUACAUA